GCCUGGCUGGCUCAGUCAGUUAAGUGUCUGACUUCAGCUCAGGUCAUGAUCUCACAGUCCGCGAGUUCGAGCCCCGCGUCGGGCU
rnacentral:tRNA from 1 species